CAAUCUACUCCAUGGUACGUGUCUCAGAUCCCAUCUUUCCAUUCUUCACUUUGCAAUCUUGCGUCACUGAAUGUGUGAACUGUAAUCUGUUGAACUGAGUGCAUUCCAGGCAGGCAAUAUGGCUAGUUCCCAGAUUAUGCUAGAAUGAUUGGUUUGAAUAGCUGAGGUAACUAGUAGUACAAUAUGACCAUCUGGCAGCAUGAUUUUUAUUGCUUGCUGGUUGCAUAUUGCCUGUCAUCAUGAUUGAUCAUGAGUCAUGGCCAUCUAGCAGUGCAUUUUACUCUCCUGGAUUUUGAAAUUUGAAGCUCUAUGUGCACCUAUGGAAACUAGGUUUAUUGAUUUAGCAUGAAUUUUGGGGAUGUUAUACCUUUCAAGUUUCAACUACAUGACCACCAGAUAUAGUCGACCAACUAUAAGCCUUGACAUUCAGAAUACUACGGGUCGCAUGUUUCUCAGUUUGAAGUUUGCACACAUCUACUAUAAAUUUCAUUGAUUGAGUGCUUUGCUUCUUGUACGUUCAUGUUUUCUGCGGAUAUACUGUUUUUUCAUAGUGUUCAAGCAUCCUGCUAUAUCUAGUUAUGCACCUUGUGGCUGCUCUGCCAGGUUGCUUUAUGUUUUUAUUUUGAGAAAAAGUUGCUUCAUGUUCUAUCUACUGAUAUAAGAUCCCACACCAUUGUUUAUUUAAGACUUCCACAAGUUAACUUCUCAUGAGGCUGUUAGCGUACUACAGCAUUUCAGUCCACUACAAUAGCUGAAUAAUUUACCUUACUAAGCGAACCCACUAAGUCAUCAUAUAUAUACUUUUACAUAAUGUGGUUCUGAAAAUUGGGUAGUUCUCAGAUUCUAGUAGAAUGAUUAGCUUGAAUUGUUGUGGUAACUAGUAGUUUGUACAACAUGACCAUAUGGCAGCAUGUUUUAUUGCUUGCUGGUUGCGUAAUGCCUGUCAUCAUGAUUUGUCAUGACCAUCUAGCAGUGUAUUUCACUCCGUGGUUUCCCCGAGUUCUUCGAUUAUGAUAUAUGAAGCUUUAUGUGCAGGUAUGGAAACUACUAACUUCUAGUUGAUUGAGUAGCGUAAUUAAGUUCACCGUAGGAGGCAACACCAACAGGGUUGAUUGAUUGUACUCUCCCUCUCCCUCCCGCGCCGCCCCCGCACGGUGCCGGGGAGGGAACCCUAGGUGGCCGCCGCCGAGCUCCCCACCCUCCCUCCUCCUCUCCCGUCGCCGCCAGGGGGUCUGGCCGGGCAAAGCUCGCCCGGGCUGGCGGCUGCGGGGCCCUCUCGAUCCCCCGUAGGCAGAGGUGCGGCGCGGGAGCCACGGCGCGACGCCGCCCGGGUGCGUUAGAGGCCGCUGGCGUGGUGGCGGCGUGGACGGUGGAGGAUCGUGCGGGGCGAGCUCUAGCGGCUUGGAUCUGGCGCGUGAGGGGAUGAUGCAAUGAGGGAUGUGGGCGGCGCGGCCUAGCGCUUCCUGGGCGUCGGACGGCGGCUGCUGGCAGCAAGGUAGCCGGCGGCUCUUCUCACGGGCGGGUGGAGGAAGGUGAGUGGGUGGACGGUGGACGCCUUGGUCUCGGGCGGCGGGGGCAGGACGAUGCGUGGAGAGCCGAGGGGGCGCAGGGUUGGCACCGUGGAUGCGGCUACUCGGCAGCCGGACUGCCGGCUGCCUUGGCGGCCUCUCAUCUGGAUCCGGGAUGCCCAGAUCUGAUGGGGCGGCAUCCGCCCCCUGGUUGCGUUGGCUGGUAGUUGGCCGGCAACGCGGACUGGCCUCCGGUGCGGGAGUUUGACGCGGUACUCCUGCAUGGGGCUCGUCGCUCCUCGCGCGGCGUCCGGCGUUCGGUUGCCCUGGAGUCGGUGCACGGCUCUGGGGCGCCUCUGUUCCGGUCAAGAUGGGAGCUUGUAGUUCGAUUGGGGGGCGUCUUCUCAUUAUGGCGUUGAUGAAGGAUCGUGACGGUGGUGGUCAGGACAACAUUUGUGCCGGCAAUCAGAAUAUGUGCCGUAGGCCGCGGAUUUGGCAUCGUCUAAGUUGAUGGCUCGACGAUGGCCGUCGGUAGCCACUGGGCCAUGUCCCCCCCCUCCCGGUCCACCUAGAUAGGAGGGGACUUUAGGCGUGGGUGCCCCUACGGUGGUGGCGCUGACCCUGGCCUGGGGGCUGAUGCCGGGCUUCUCCAACCGCGGUUUGCGCACGGUGAAGCGGACGGUCGGCUUUGUCUCGUGGCAUGGAUGCCAGGGCGGUGGCCCUGGAAGGUGGUCCACAUGGUUGGCUCUCUAGCGGGCACCAUGGCGGCGGUGGUAGCAUUGUCUCUUGGUCGUGUGGGGCUUGGCGCAAGGUAGCUCGGGCGGGCUCUCGGUCUCCGUGGGGGCGCCUCGAUCCAGAUCUGGGGAGUUGAGCUCGUCAUGCUUCUUCUGAAGACCUCGUGGUGACACGCGAGAACUACCGGGCGAAAGCUCUGCGCUCUGGCGCCGACGAUGAUGACGCUCGAGGGCGCCACUCUCUUAUUGAAGAUGUCGUCGUGGUGUUCCCAUCCGUGUCCGGGUUCCGGGUGAAAACCUUUGUCCAUUGUGGACUCGAUAGCGGCGACGCUUGGCGCCGGCAUCCCUCCUGAGGGCGUUGUCGUGGAGCUUAGGUGUAUAGGGCGUAGCGUAGCGUUGUACUCGGGUCCUCCUAUGCUUUUUCGUCGGUACCAUUGGUGAUCCGUUUAUUCUGGGAUCGGCUUUGUAAGAGGACUACCUCUCCACCUUGUAUCGUUCGGCCGUGUACUUUGUUCGGUUGUUGCUUUUAUAUAUAAAGCGGGGCGAAAGCCUGUUUCGAGAGAGUUGAUUGAGUUAGCAUGAAUUCUGGGAAUGCUAUAUCUUUAAAGUUUCAAUUGCAUGACAACUAGAUAUAGUUGACCAACUGUGAGCCUUGACAUUCAGAAUACUAGGGGUUGCAUGUUUCUCAGUUUUCACUUUGCACAAAGCUACUACACAUUUUGUUGAAUGAUUGCUCUGCUUCUUGUAUGUUCAUAUUUUCUGCGCAUUACUCUGUUUUGUCGCAGUUUUCAAGCACCCUGUUAUGUCUAGUUAUGUUCCUUGUGGCUGCUGCUGUACCAAGUUGCUACAUGUUGUGUACACACCUUGUCUAUCUACUAAUAUAAGAUCCCACACCAUUGUUUAUUUCAGGCUUCUACAAGUUAACUUCUAGUGAUGCUGUUAGCGUACCCACUACAGUAGCUGAAUAAUUUACCUUGCUUAGUGAACCCACUAACUCAUCAUAUAUAUUGUUACAUAAUCUGGCCCACUUGUUACCAAACUUUAUGCCUCGCUGCUUCUCUGCUUUAUUACUUUUUAGCUACUUUCCCUUGCUAUUUAAGCACCAUUCGGGGUCGGUGAGAUCCAUCUCUUGUGCAAGGGGUUGUCCCCCGGCUAGCUAAGAACCCUAGCUACAGUACUUCUAGAUCGAGCAAUCCAUCUUCUUGAGGUGGCCUACUUUCUGUGUUUUGCAUUUCAUUUCUGAAGAUCAUCGACAGAUCCUUAGUUAGCGCCUGUCAGUACCAUACUUGCUGGUAUUGAUGAAUCUAGCCUCGUAUGAGAUGGCUUCUGUAACCAACUUGCUUCAUGUCGUGUGCACACCUUCUGUUAAUUGAUAUAAGGAGAUCCCGCACAGGCGUUUAGUUCAGGCUACCGGGAGUCAACUCCUGGUGAGGCUAUUAGCACACUAUGUAUGGCAUUUCAGUCGACAACACUAGCUGAAUAAUCUACCUUGCUUAGUGAAUCCAGUAAUCCAUCUUAUAUAUUGUUAUGUAGUGUGGCUCAGCUUUAAGAACUUAAUCGCUUGAAGAAAUGUACAGCCUGAUUUUAUUGCUACACUCUGACUGUUGCUAUGUGUUACUGCUGGACUACAUCUUCACUCGUUCUAAUCAGGCUGUAUUUUGUUGUUACAUCAAUUAUAGGCGCUCGCAACUGAGGUCUUCAACAGUCAACACACACGACGCGGCGCAUGAAUGCAGGCAGGCACACGUUUUUGGAUUGCUAACCUGAAUAUCUGAUGGUUCUGUAGUGAGUGCUGUAAUGUUUACCUCAAGUUGCUACUCUGUGUUUGCAUGAGGAUGAGGUGUGCUUGAUGUGAGUGUGUGGCUUGUUCUAACCGUGGAGUACCUAGUUGCUCCGUGGCAAGAGAUAACCCUGCUUGGAGAUGAUGUGACCCAGGUAGUCGAUGUGGUCCUGGGCAAACGAGCACUUGGACAACUUGGCGUACAGCUGAUGCUCGCGGAGCAGGUUGAGGACGAGGCGGAGGUGCUCGAUGUGUUCUUCCAGGGUCUCACUGAAAACGAGAAUGUCGUCAAGGAAUAUGAUGACAAACUUACGCGUAUACUUGGCGAAGAUGGCAUUCAUCAAGCACUGGAAUGUUGCCGGGGCAU
rnacentral:lncRNA from 1 species